rnacentral:rRNA from 1 species
UACGUAGGGUGCAAGCGUUGUCCGGAAUUAUUGGGCGUAAAGAGCUCGUAGGCGGUUUGUCGCGUCGGCUGUGAAAACCUGAGGCUCAACCUCGGGCCUGCAGUUCGAUACGGGCAAACUAGAGUUCGGUAGGGGAGACUGGAAUUCCUGGUGUAGCGGUGGAAUGCGCAGAUAUCAGGAGGAACACCAAUGCGAAGGCAGGUCUCUGGGCCGAAACUGACGCUGAGGAGCGAAAGCGUGGGGAGCGAACAGG